UACAGAGGUCCCAAGCGUUGUUCGGAUUCACUGGGCGUAAAGGGUGCGUAGGUGGCCUGGUAAGUUUGGUGUGAAAGCUCGGAGCUUAACUCCGAAAUGGCAUUGAAUACUAUCUGGCUGGAGGGUCGGAGGGGAGACUGGAAUUCUCGGUGUAGCAGUGAAAUGCGUAGAUAUCGAGAGGAACACCAGUGGCGAAGGCGAGUCUCUGGACGACACCUGACACUGAGGCACGAAAGCUAGGGGAGCAAACAGG
rnacentral:rRNA from 1 species